GAUGAACGCUGGCGGCGUGCCUAAUACAUGCAAGUCGAGCGAACGGACGAGAAGCUUGCUUCUCUGAUGUUAGCGGCGGACGGGUGAGUAACACGUGGAUAACCUACCUAUAAGACUGGGAUAACUUCGGGAAACCGGAGCUAAUACCGGAUAGUAUUUUGAACCGCAUGGUUCAAAAGUGAAAGACGGUCUUGCUGUCACUUAUAGAUGGAUCCGCGCUGCAUUAGCUAGUUGGUAAGGUAACGGCUUACCAAGGCAACGAUGCAUAGCCGACCUGAGAGGGUGAUCGGCCACACUGGAACUGAGACACGGUCCAGACUCCUACGGGAAGCAGCAGUAGGGAAUCUUCCGCAAUGGGCGAAAGCCUGACGGAGCAACGCCGCGUGAGUGAUGAAGGUCUUCGGAUCGUAAAACUCUGUUAUUAGGGAAGAACAUAUGUGUAAGUAACUGUGCACAUCUUGACGGUACCUAAUCAGAAAGCCACGGCUAACUACGUG
rnacentral:rRNA from 1 species